UUUUUCCUGUUUAGGUUUAGGAUAAUUAGUGUUUGGUUUAGGUUAGUGCUAGGUUUAGGUUUAGGUUUAGAUUUAGAUAAUUAGAAGAAGAAGAAGAAAGAUGAAAAAAGAAGAAGAAAAGAAAAAAAGUUAAGUAGAAGAAGAGGAUAGAGGAAAAAAGGAAGAAGAGGAAGAAGAAGAAGAGGAGGAGGAGGAGGAGGAGAAGAAGAGAAGAAGAAGAAGAAGAAGAAGAAGAAGAAGAAGAAGAAGAAUGAGGAGGAGGAGGAGGAGGAGA
rnacentral:lncRNA from 1 species